GUCGCCGCAGUGCUGCUGUGUGGGCUCCGUGGCAUGUGACGAGGUGCAGAAGCGUUCUGCAUUUCGCUGUCAGAUACGAACAUUGCAUGGCAAUAGUAGCAACAAGAUUAGAUGGUCCGGUUCUGGUUCUGGCUGAUGCGUGGAGUUCUCAUCAACUACGAGUAGUGUUAGAAGUAGUUUACACGAUUCGCAACUUGGU
rnacentral:lncRNA from 1 species